UACGAAGGGGGCUAGCGUUGCUCGGAAUCAUUGGGCGUAAAGCGCACGUAGGCGGCUCCAAAAGUCGGAUGUGAAAUCCCUCGGCUCAACCGAGGACGUGCAUCCGAAACUGCGGAGCUUGAGUAUGGAAGAGGGUCGCGGAAUCCCCGGUGUAGAGGUGAAAUUCGUAGAUAUCGGGGGGAACACCAGUGGCGAAGGCGGCGACCUGGGCCAAUACUGACGCUGAGGUGCGAAAGCGUGGGGAGCAAACAGG
rnacentral:rRNA from 1 species